rnacentral:rRNA from 1 species
UACAGAGGGGGCAAGCGUUGUCCGGACUUACUGGGCGUACAGCGCGCGCAGGUGGUCGGCUAAGUUCGCGGUGACAGCGUGCGGCUCAACCGCAUGUGGUCCGGGGAGACUGGUCGACUGGAGGCAUCGAGAGGGAAACGGAAUACCCGGUGGAGCGGUGAAAUGCGUAGAGAUCGGGUGGAACACCAGUGGCGCAGGCGGUUUCCUGGCGAUGACCUGACACUGAGGCGCGACAGCGUGGGGAGCAAACGGGAUUAGAAACCCCCGUAGUCC